rnacentral:lncRNA from 1 species
UAGUUGCUGGCCCUCUUAUUUAUCUUCCUUGGUGUUCCCUACUUUAUUGUUUUAACCCUAACCUUCCUGUUAAUCUGUAUCUGUUAUCUGUUUUCGCUGUACUAUUUGUUAUCAGAAUGCACUCUUCCCUGUCCCUUACAACUUGUGACUUGCGAGCUGCUCCUGCAGUCUAAGUAGCCCACAGAGAGGGGAGGGCACUGCUGCAGUUUCUAUUCACAUUCGUUCUUAGAAUCCCAUCUCUUUUGUUCUGUGUGAUGUAUAACACAUACAGUAUUGUUUCCUAGUUGAGUGUCCCAAACUCUCAGAGGUUUAACACAAUGGAAGUUGUGUCACACGGGGUCACAGUUGAGCCCCAGAGGUGUAAGGCAGUAGGCGUGACACACAACUGGAGUGGGCACGGACUGUCUGAUGCAAUAGGGAUCAUGCCAUGUUGAAGUCCAGGAAACAGCUGGAGUUCUUUGCUUGUGGGUCCCUGAUGCACAUAGUGGACACUUGGAUGACUGCUGAGUGGAGCUACGGUCCUAGCAGUAGCAGGACUCCGUCUUUAUGAGGCCCAGGAGAGAGUGUUACAGUGGUUCCCUGUGACUGAGAAGCCUUGAGCCUGUGUUUUAUAAUAUGGUUUGAUCUGUGCAGACACACACACGGCCCUGCCCUAGUUUGAUCAAAGUGCUCCCUUUGUACCUGUGGGGGUGCAUUUGCCCUCCUCAGUCUGUGCACGCGGGCCGUGCUGCACAGUGUCUGUGGAUGGAUUCGGACUACUUCCUUCUGUGUGUGCAUUAGACACGGAGCCGAAGGCUGCCCACUCACUGGAGUCACCCCGGGCAAGGCCCAGUCUGCAGCCAUUGCUCCACCCAGUGUGGGGGAACGCUGAGCGCACGUGAUCACCACGGCGGUACCCAGAGUUCUCAGCUUUUCUCUGGCUUUUGCCAUUCUCUCCCUUAAGCCUCAGGUCUCCUAAAACAUUUUGGCGCCGGACAAACCAGGGCAACCGAUCAGGACUGUACUGGCUUCAAAACUUGAAGUUCCACCUUCUAGAUAACAUCUCAAGUCCAGGCCAAGCAGGACACUUGCUCCCCCUACUGGCCCCCUAU